GGCGAGUCUAAUCCGAGUAUCGGAGCAGACGCAGCGAAAGCGACAGGGCCGCAGCCAACAACGUGGACUUCCGUCCACGCUGGCCAGGGCCGCCGUCUUCAAGGGCGGGGAGUCGCGGGGAUACGACCCGAAACCGAGUGAUCUAUGCGUGGGCAGGGUGAAGCGUGGCGAAAGCCACGUGGAGGCCCGCUAGAGUUGGUGUCUUACAAUACCCUCUCGUGACCUACGCAUAGGGGUGAAAGGCCCAUCGAACUCGGCAACAGCUGGUUCCGACCGAAACAUGUCGAAGCAUGACCUCAACCGAGAUAGUUCAUGGGGUAGAGCGACCGAUUGAAAAUCCCGCCUCCGAGAGGAGUCGGCUUUUCUGUCAAACUCCGAACCUAUGAACGUUGGAGACGUUGGGAGUCCGGUGUGCGGAGUAAGUUUGUGCACCGUAAGGGAGACAACCCAGAGCAAGGUUAAGGACCCCAAAUAUGGAUUAAGUGCGAUCGAAGGUGGUCUCGAGCCCUAAACAGCCGGGAGGUGAGCUUAGAAGCAGCAACCCUCUAAGAAAAGCGUAACAGCUUACCGGCCGAGGUUCGAGGCGCCCAAAAUGAUCGGGGCUCAAAUCCAUUUCCGAGACCCUGCAGCAUUCCACUAGGAAUGACCACGUAGGUCGGCGUACUGGUCGGGUGGAAGCACGGGUGAGAACUCGUGUGGACCGAUACAGUAACGAAAAUUCUGGUCACAGUAGCAGCAAUAGUCGGGUGAGACCCUCGACGACCUUACGAGCAAGGGUUCCUCGGCACUGUUAAUCAGCCGAGGGUUAGUCGAUCCUAAGUCUGCCCGUAAUUCGAAGCAGACAACAGGGAAACUGGUUAAUAUUCCAGUACCAGUGCCACCAAACGCUGACGCCGUAGGAAACAACGAGCCGGGUUUUCGCCCGGUCGAAUCGGAGAAGCCCGUGGAAGCCGUCACGGCACGAAGCGAGCGAAGUCCGAGAUAGUGUAAAUCGUUGGUACCUAGGGCCCGUGAAAAAGCAAGUGCACUGUUCGUACCAAGAUCCGACACAGGUGCUCAGGCAGCGAAAGCCAAGGUCUGUCGGGCAAUAACCGGCGUUAGGGAAUUCGGCAAGUUAGUCCCGUACGUUCGCAAGAAGGGAUGCCUGCCCCGGAAUGGGGCAGGUUGCAAUAUCUCGGAAGCUCCGACUGUCUAAUAACAACACAGGUGACUGCAAAUGCGCAAGCACUCGUACAGUCACUGAAUCCUGCCCAGUGCGGGUAUCUGAACACCGCGUACAAGCGGACGAAGGACCCGUCAACGGCGGGGGUAACUAUGACCCUCUUAAGGUAGCGUAGUACCUUGCCGCUUCAGUAGCGGCUUGCAUGAAUGGAUCAACGAGAGCUUCACUGUCCCAACGCUGGACCCGGUGAACUGUACGUUCCAGUGCGGAGUCUGGAGACCCCCAAGGGGAAGCGAAGACCCUAUAGAGCUUUACUGCAGGCUGUCGCUGAGACGUGGUCGCUACUGUGCAGCAUAGGUAGGAGUCGUUACAGAGGUACCCGCGCUAGCGGGCCGCCCAGACAGCAUUGAAAUACUACCCGGUAGUGACUGCGACUCUCACUCCUGGCGGAGGACACCGGUAGCCGGGCAGUUUGACUGGGGCGGUACGCGCUCGAAAAGAUAUCGAGCGCGCCCGAAGAUCAUCUCAGCCGGGUCGGGAAUCCGGCGAAGAGCGCAAGAGCACAAGAUGGUCUGACAGUGUCAUUCCCAACGAGUGACGCUGACGCGAAAGCGUGGUCUAGCGAACCUACGAGGCUCCGGAAUGGGGCCCGUAGAUGACAGAAAAGCUACCUUAGGGAUAACAGAGUCGUCACCCGCAAGAGCACAUAUCGACCGGGUGGCUUGCUACCUCGAUGUCGGUUCCCUCCAUCCUGCCCGUGCAGAAGCGGGCAAGGGUGAGGUUGUUCGCCUAUUAAAGGAGGUCGUGAGCUGGGUUUAGACCGUCGUGAGACAGGUCGGCUGCUAUCUAUUGGGGGUGUAAGGUACGUGACGUGAACGUUCGUAUAGUACGAGAGGAACUACGAAUGGGCACCACUGGUGUAUCGGUUGUCUGACAAGGCAGUUGCCGAGUAGCUACGUGCCACGGGGUAAGAGCUGAACGCAUCUAAGCUCGAAACCCACAUGAAAAAGACGUACCACACGGUCACUCAUAGAAGAUGAGUUCGAUAGACUCGGGAUGUACGCGCCGAGGCAACGAGGCGUUUUAGUCCACGAGCACUAACAGACCACGCCAUAGUCA
rnacentral:rRNA from 1 species